rnacentral:ncRNA from 2 species
UGGGUAAGCGCGGGAGAGUGUGGGAAUAAAACCCCACCGCCGAAGGAGCAACCGCCCCGGAAUCUCUCAGGCAAUCGGGACCGCGCUGACCUG